rnacentral:rRNA from 1 species
UACGUAGGGGGCUAGCGUUGUCCGGAUUUAUUGGGCGUAAAGAGCGUGUAGGCGGCCAGGUAGGUCUGCUGUGAAAACUCGAGGCUCAACCUCGAGACGUCGGCGGAAACCAUCUGGCUAGAGUCCGGAAGAGGAGAGUGGAAUUCCUGGUGUAGCGGUGAAAUACGUAGAGAUCGGGAGGAACAUCAGUUGCGAAGGCGGCUCUCUGGACCAGCACUGACACUGAGGCACGAAAGCGUGGGGAGCGAACAGG